rnacentral:misc_RNA from 1 species
GAUGAAGAACGUAGCGAAAUGCGAUAAGUAAUGUGAAUUGCAGAAUUCAGUGAAUCAUCGAAUCUUUGAACGCACAUUGCGCCCCUUGGUAUUCCGGGGGGCAUGCCUGUUCGAGCGUCAUUAUAACCCCUCAAGCUCAGCUUGGUGUUGGGGCCUGCCUACUGGCAGCCCUUAAAAUCAGUGGCGGCGCCAUCUGGCUCUAAGCGUAGUAAUUUCUCUCGCUAUAGGGUCCCGGUGGACGUUUGCCAACAACCCCCAAUUUUUUAAUGGUUGACCUCGGAUCAGGUAGGGAUACCCGCUGAACUUAAGCAUAUCAAUAAGCGGAGGA